GACGAACGCUGGCGGCGUGCUUAACACAUGCAAGUCGAACGGAAAGGCCCUGCUUUUGUGGGGUGCUCGAGUGGCGAACGGGUGAGUAACACGUGAGUAACCUGCCCUUGACUUUGGGAUAACUUCAGGAAACUGGGGCUAAUACCGGAUAGGAGCUCCUGCUGCAUGGUGGGGGUUGGAAAGUUUCGGCGGUUGGGGAUGGACUCGCGGCUUAUCAGCUUGUUGGUGGGGUAGUGGCUUACCAAGGCUUUGACGGGUAGCCGGCCUGAGAGGGUGACCGGCCACAUUGGGACUGAGAUACGGCCCAGACUCAUACGGGAGGCAGCAGUGGGGAAUAUUGCACAAUGGGCGGAAGCGUGAUGCAGCAACGCCGCGUGCGGGAUGACGGCCUUCGGGUUGUAAACCGCUUUCGCCUGUGACGAAGCGUGAGUGACGGUAAUGGGUAAAGAAGCACCGGCUAACUACGU
rnacentral:rRNA from 1 species